rnacentral:tRNA from 1 species
AGAGGAGCGUCAUCUUGUUCGUAUUCGAAAUGCGAAGGUCGGGAGUUCGAUCCUCCUCCUCUCCACCA